CAAUAGCGUAUAUUAAAGUUGUUGCGGUUAAAAAGCUCGUAGUUGGAUUUCUGCCGAGGACGACCGGUCCGCCCUCUGGGUGUGUAUCUGGUUUGGCCUGGGCAUCUUCUUGGAGAACGUAGCUGCACUUGACUGUGUGGUGCGGUGUCCAGGACUUUUACUUUGAGGAAAUUAGAGUGUUUCAGGCAGGCACACGCCUUGAAUACAUUAGCAUGGAAUAAUAAGAUAGGACCUCGGUUCUAUUUUGUUGGUUUCUAGAGCUGAGGUAAUGAUUAAUAGGGAUAGUUGGGGGCAUUCGUAUUUAACUGUCAGAGGUGAAAUUCUUGGAUUUGUUAAAGACGGACUACUGCGAAGGCAUUUGCCAAGGAUGUUUUCAUUGA
rnacentral:rRNA from 1 species